rnacentral:rRNA from 1 species
UACGUAGGGUGCAGGCGUUAAUCGGAAUUACUGGGCGUAAAGCGUGCGCAGGCGGUCUGCUAAGACAGAUGUGAAAUCCCCGGGCUCAACCUGGGAACUGCAUUUGUGACUGCAUCGCUGGAGUGCGGCAGAGGGGGAUGGAAUUCCGCGUGUAGCAGUGAAAUGCGUAGAUAUGCGGAGGAACACCGAUGGCGAAGGCAUCCCCUGGGCCUGCACUGACGCUCAUGCACGAAAGCGUGGGGAGCAAACAGG